rnacentral:rRNA from 1 species
UACGAAGGGGGCAAGCGUUGUUCGGAAUUACUGGGCGUAAAGGGCGCGUAGGCGGUGCGCUAAGUCAGAUGUGAAAGCCCUGGGCUUAACCCGGGAACUGCAUUUGAUACUGGCGCGCUUGAAUCCGGGAGAGGUUGGUGGAAUUCCCAGUGUAGCAGUGAAAUGCGUAGAUUUCGAGAGGAACGCUCGCUGCGAAAGCGAAGCUCUGGCCAGCAUCUGACGCUGAGGCACGAAGGCUAGGGGAGCAAACGGG